UACGUAGGGUGCAAGCGUUGUCCGGAAUUAUUGGGCGUAAAGAGCUCGUAGGUGGUCUGUCGCGUCGGAUGUGAAAAUCCAGGGCUCAACCCUGGACCUGCAUUCGAUACGGGCGGACUAGAGUUCGGUAGGGGAGACUGGAAUUCCUGGUGUAGCGGUGAAAUGCGCAGAUAUCAGGAGGAACACCGGUGGCGAAGGCGGGUCUCUGGGCCGAUACUGACGCUGAGGAGCGAAAGCGUGGGGAGCGAACAGG
rnacentral:rRNA from 1 species